rnacentral:rRNA from 1 species
CCACUUUAAUUUGAUGGGUAGUAAGCGUUAAAUAUAUUUGAAUAUGGGCUUUAAAGAAGAAUACCCCAGUUUAAAAUUUUAAAUAAUAUACGAAAUUAUAAUUUAGUUAAUUUUUUAAUUUAGGUUCAUUAGGUGCCAGCAACCGCGGUCAAACCUAAUAAACAAGCUUAUACAUAUAUUAAGUAUCAUGUUAUUGCUUUGAAAGUGGUAUCAAUAAGUAGUAAAAUACUAUUGUUACUAUAAACUGCUAAAGCAAAAUAUUCAUCUCAAACCCAUAUUAGAAACUAGGAUUAGAGACCCUACUAUUACGGACUUACUAUUUACUUACUAAGAAGUAAAAUUAUACAGUUUAAACUUAAAAUUUAUGGCGGCUAAACAAAACCUUUAGGGGAACUUACCAUAUAAUUGAUAACCACCAAGCAUAAUCUUACUUAUUAUUAAAAUUUGUAUACCGUUGUCUUCAUGAAUCCCUUAUAGGGGUUCAUAAGUGUGUCAUUCAUUUUAAGAUAAAUCAAGGUGCAGUCUAUUAAUAAGAAAUAAGGUGAGUUACAAUAUAAAAUCUAUUCGGAUGUUGUUAUGAAAAAAAUCAUGAAGACGGACUUAAAAGUACUAUUCAAAUACUACCAACUCAAUAUGAAUAUGUAUUGUUUAGUGUA